UGCUCAGUAACUCCUAUCCUAACCUCCGCGUAGUACCGGCUGGAAAUUACAAGCAACCUUAGGGAUGAUCGGGUAACCAACCCCGAUGGGAACUUUGGUCGUAGGCUGACAGAGAAAG
rnacentral:ribozyme from 1 species